rnacentral:rRNA from 1 species
AAUGAACGUUGGCGGCGUGGAUUAGGCAUGCAAGUCGUGCGAGAAGCUUCCUUCGGGAAGUGGACAGCGGCGAACGGGAGAGUAACGCGUGGAGUACCUACCCUGGGGCCCGGGAUAGCCGUGGGAAACUGCGGGUAAUACCGGAUAACAUCUCCGGAUCAAAGGUGUGAUUCCGCCCUGGGACGGCUCCACGUCCUAUUAGCUUGUUGGUGGGGUAACGGCCUACCAAGGCUGCGAUGGGUACCGGGUGUGAGAGCAUGGCCCGGCUCACUGGGACUGAGACACUGCCCAGACACCUACGGGUGGCUGCAGUCGAGAAUCUUCGGCAAUGGGCGCAAGCCUGACCGAGCGACGCCGCGUGCGGGAUGAAGGCCUUCGGGUUGUAAACCGCUGUCGGAGGGGAGGAAAUCCUAGGGGGUUCUCCCUCUAGGUUGACCUAGCCUCAAAGGAAGGACGGGCUAAGUUCGUG